GGGGGGGGGGGGGGGGGGGGGGGGGGGGGGGGGGGCGGGGGGGGGGGGGGGGGGCGGGGGGCGGUGGGGGGAGCGGCGGGCGGGGGAGGGACGCGGGGGUAACCUGCCUAUAAGACGGGGGUAACUUCGGGAAACCGUAGCUAAUACCGGAUAAUAUUUUGAACCGCAUGGUUCAAAAGUGAAAGACGGUCUUGCUGUCACUUAUAGAUGGAUCCGCGCUGCAUUAGCUAGUUGGUAAGGUAACGGCUUACCAAGGCAACGAUGCAUAGCCGACCUGAGAGGGUGAUCGGCCACACUGGAACUGAGACACGGUCCAGACUCCUACGGGAGGCAGCAGUAGGGAAUCUUCCGCAAUGGGCGAAAGCCUGACGGAGCAACGCCGCGUGAGUGAUGAAGGUCUUCGGAUCGUAAAACUCUGUUAUUAGGGAGGAACAUAUGUGUAAGUAACUGUGCACAUCUUGACGGUACCUAAUCAGAAAGCCACGGCUAACUACGUG
rnacentral:rRNA from 1 species